UACGUAGGGGGCGAGCGUUAGGCGGAAUCACUGGGCUUAAAGCGUGUGUAGGCGGACUUCUAAGUACCUUGUGAAAUCCCACGGCUCACCCGUGGAACUGCUUGGUAUACUGGUUGUCUUGAGCCUUCUAGGGGCGAGUGGAACAAAUGGUGGAGCGGUGAAAUGCGUAGAUAUCAUUUGGAACGCCAAUGGUGAAAAACAACUCGCUGGGGAAGUGCUGACGCUGAGACACGAAAGCCAGGGGAGCGAACGGG
rnacentral:rRNA from 1 species